GCUGCCCCAAACCGCAUCACACACACAAACAAACACGCAUGGAAUGGAAAGGAGAAAGCUCUCUUUCUCUCUCUAAAUCUCUCCCAAAAAGAGAGAAAUUGGUGGAGAUUGAAGCUUGGCGAUGAAUCGUCUUCAUCUUCUUCAUCUUCUCCAUGGUUUGGAGCUAUUUUUGAGAUGAGCUUCUCGAUCCCUCUCAUGGUAAACAAACGCGUUGGCGAAGACGGUUCGGCGAUUCGUCGAGCCGUUGCGAAGUUAUUAAAGAAACGGACGUUAGGCUUCGUAUCCGCCUGCAGGGCCGAGGCGAUGUUGUAAAGUCGUGAAAAUGGAUUUGUAGCAUCGUGGCAUCAAACCGAAGACCUAUAAUUUUCGGGGCUGCGAAGCGGAGGACGGUUGAGGCGCAACUACGAAAUCGGGCCCAAACGGGUACCGGGCGCCGCGGGAGGCCGAUUGCAAGUGUCGACAAGCAAUCGGAACGCGAAUCGAGGUGGGUUGUGCUUACCGAAGCGACUAGGUUGUACGAGUGUGGCGCGGCGGCACGAGG